rnacentral:misc_RNA from 1 species
CAAAAUGAUAUAUUUCUAGGUUUGUAGUCUACUUUUUUCAAAGGUGUGAUUCGCCUAGAAAUAUCAAUUCACCCAAUGUGCACUGUUUCUGUUUUUCGGGUGAUUUUUGAACUUUUACAGUAGUUUUCUUUUUUGAAAUUUACAGUAAAAAGAGGAAAUUGCCCGGCAGUUUUAUAAACCCAACCAUAUUAUUUGUCUGAUAAUUUCUGAAAAUGAAAUGAUAAA